UUUAAAUGUAAAAUAAAUUUACUAAAGUAGUAUUAGUUAUGUUCUUGAAAUUUAAAGAUUUUGGCGGUAUUUUAGUCUAUUUAGAGGAGCCUGUUCUAUGAUUGAUAUUCCACGAUUUAUUUUACUUAAUUUACAUAAAUUUGUAUACCGUCGUUAUAAGAGAAUUUUAAAAGAAUAUAAAUUUUUAAUAUUUUAUAUAAAAAAAUAUAUCAGAUCAAGGUGCAGUUUAUAGUUAAGGAGAAAUGGGCUACAAUAAAUAUAUUUAUUAUACGGAUUAAAGUAAGAAUAUGACUUUAUGAAGGUGGAUUUAAUAGUAAUAAAAUUUAUUUAAAUUUUAUGAUUUUAGCUCUAAAAUAUG
rnacentral:rRNA from 1 species